UGGGGAAUAUUGCACAAUGGGCGAAAGCCUGAUGCAGCAACGCCGCGUGAGGGAUGACGGCCUUCGGGUUGUAAACCUCUUUUAGUAGGGAAGAAGCGAAAGUGACGGUACCUGCAGAAAAAGCACCGGCUAACUACGUGCCAGCAGCCGCGGUAAUACGUAGGGUGCAAGCGUUGUCCGGAAUUAUUGGGCGUAAAGAGCUCGUAGGCGGUUUGUCGCGUCUGCUGUGAAAUCCCGAGGCUCAACCUCGGGUCUGCAGUGGGUACGGGCAGACUAGAGUGUGGUAGGGGAGAUUGGAAUUCCUGGUGUAGCGGUGGAAUGCGCAGAUAUCAGGAGGAACACCGAUGGCGAAGGCAGAUCUCUGGGCCAUUACUGACGCUGAGGAGCGAAAGCAUGGGGAGCGAACAGG
rnacentral:rRNA from 1 species